UGUGUCCCUUUGAAAAAAUUCCAAUAAAAGUGGAACGAUGCAGGGAAGAUAAACAUAACUCCUACACGAAGAUGACAUGCAUAUAUAAAAAAAAUGGUCCAAAUUUUC